AGAACUUAAUCUCUGCAUUGCAAUUUUAAAUGCUCUUACUGAUUUCAUAUUAAAAUGUGGCUUCAGGAAGGACAAGGAAAGGAUUUUGCAUUGAUUCUAAGGAGGAUGGAAUGAACAGACUGACAAAACAAUGUCUGCUUCCAAAGGCAGAUGAACGUGGAUGGAGCAUCCCUGGUUCAAUGGGUUCCCUCUGGAGCUGGGACUACUGGGACAGUUCCUUUGGCAAAGCAAACCUGAUCUUCAGGGAGGCCAAAGGGCCAUGAAAAAGAAUAAAUGUAACAAUUAAUAACCAUGAUGAAAGUUUAUUAUGCUCAAAACUGCAGAUUUUGGAGCCAGAAGGUUCUUUAAGUAGUGCCUAAUCAGGGCAGCAAAAAGGAUGGACACAAGAAGAUAUUAAUGGCAAAAAUACUGUUGAAAUCUUUAGAAAAGGGAAAUACAGGGUUGAAACUGAGAGGCAAGAAGCACAUUUGGUCUCCUGGUUUGUUAAGAUGCUCUCUGGCUUUGUUUUUCUAAGCAAUAUCGUCUGUCACUGCUCCACAACUGUAUUAUUAUAACACUAUUUAAAAGUGAAUUUUCUCACUAGGCAUCAUUCCAAGCCCUCACAUCUGUGACUUUUAUCUUGCUGCAUGUUUGCUUCUAUAUUUGAAAAAGGUAUUUAGCUACAGGUGUUAAUUCUUCCCUGAUUUAGCCCCAGGACCAUUGUAAAAACAAACCUUUUUAACUUUGAGCAAAGCUGGGCAUAUAUUAACAAAGAAUACAUUUCAUGCAGCAUUAUUAAAUGUCUUUUUACAGAAUAAGGAAUAAACCAGGCCAUUUCAAAUAGACUGAAAAAAAAAUCGUCAUGCUAGAACCUUCCCCCAACUAAAUACAGUAAAAAAAUCACUGAUGUUUUCUUGAGAAUAAAGUGUAAAGAAAGUUAUGGCAUUCAAUAGACACUGAAAGUACUUCUUGCUUCUAAUGAAGAAUAUGUCUUCAUUAAGAUGCACUAGUUUCACCUUUUUACCUUCACUGUCACAAGAAUAAUGUUUUAAAUGCAUUUCAGAUAUGAAAAGACACAUUUCAGCCACUGAUGGCAAUCCCAUUUUUCACCUAAUGGCUUGAACUGCUGAAUUUUGAUAAAUUUUAAAACAAGAUACCAUGCUGUCUAGCAUUAAAUCAUCUUAGCUUCCACAUUUUAGCUAAUUUUAAAUAAAAACAAAAAUCACAAAUCAAAUCAAUAAUUAGUUUUACCUAAUGCCAGUUGUGAAGCACUGGGGUCAAGAAGAUACUAAUUUUCUUUUCUGCAUUUCCUUGCUUUUGUGCUCUUUAUUCUCAGUCCAGUAUCUACUAUUAUUCUGACUGAUUCUUUUA